rfam:Ornithorhynchus anatinus chromosome 2, whole genome shotgun sequence.
CACCUCUCAGGGUCACAUCUGAAGAGUUUCCAGGACUCUACCAGUCUCGACUACAGGAGGGAGAGUGAAGCAGAGCCCUAUUCUUUCCAUUCCUAGCUUGGACAUUGGCUAGAUAGUGGAAGGCAAUCUGCUACAAGU